AUCAGACUUCAUGGCACUGAACCAUGGCCUUGGCCGGUUCAGGAAAGAUGUCCAUGGCCUUAGCCGGGCUGUUCAUGAUCAGGAUCCAUAUGAUCCGGAUCGAUUCAUUGGAUUCUGAUUAUGGGAAUCUCUUAGUUGGGAUUUAUCAUGAGUUUUAGUGAAUCUUAAUUAGUUUUUGGAAUACUUUCGAAAUUGGUCAGAUUUGGGUCUGAGGAGUAAAUUGAUGUUUAGAUAAGGAAUCAACCAUUCAAUGAUAGAUCCUUGUGUUAGGUUAUCGGAUCAUAUGCUUGUGUGUUGUGAUAUGUUUGUCACUUAUGAUUAUUGAUCAUAAGGAAUGUUAGUUAUCAACCUUGGGUUGAAAAGCUAUGUGCAAAGCAUUG
rnacentral:lncRNA from 1 species